rfam:Ciona intestinalis ciona1518, whole genome shotgun sequence.
GCCUCGAUAGCUCAGUUGGGAGAGCGUUAGACUGAAGAUCUAAAGGUCCCUGGUUCAAUCCCGGGUCGGGGCA